GCCAGUUGUUUGAUUUGUUCUUUGUACCCUUGCUCGGGUGUAACGAAUCUCAGCAAAAUAAUUAUAAUGUUUACCUGUUUGAUUAACGUAUUUGCUGAAUAACAAGCUUAGGUAGAUGCGAGCCACGUAUAUAAGGGCUCGGCGGCCGAUCCUUGGGCAUCAGUUGACAACAUGAAACUUCUUUCUAUUCUCGCAGUCGUGGCCGCGAUGUUCUCAGCCUUGGCUGUAGCGUCUCCAUCGCCGACAUUCUACAACAACAAUGACUCCAGUGAAAGCGGUGGCGGCGGCGGCGGCGGCGGCGGUGGCAGCUCGGGCGGCGGCGGCGGCGGCGGUGGCGGCGGCCGCUAACUACAUCCCCUGGCGACACAGACCAGACACCUACACAGAUUUAUGGCUCUCUCUCAUCUCUAUGGAUGAUUGAUGUUAAUAAAAAAUAAUUUGUGUGUGA